rnacentral:rRNA from 1 species
GGAGGAAAAGAAACCAACAGGGAUUGCCUCAGUAGCGGCGAGUGAAGCGGCAAAAGCUCAAAUUUGAAAUCUGGCGUCUUUGGCGUCCGAGUUGUAAUUUGAAGAAGGUAUCUUUGGGCCCGGCUCUUGUCUAUGUUCCUUGGAACAGGACGUCACAGAGGGUGAGAAUCCCGUGCGAUGAGAUGACCCGGGUCUGUGUAAAGUUCCUUCGACGAGUCGAGUUGUUUGGGAAUGCAGCUCUAAGUGGGUGGUAAAUUCCAUCUAAAGCUAAAUAUUGGCGAGAGACCGAUAGCGAACAAGUACAGUGAUGGAAAGAUGAAAAGAACUUUGAAAAGAGAGUGAAAAAGUACGUGAAAUUGUUGAAAGGGAAGGGCUUGAGAUCAGACUUGGUAUUUUGCAUGCUGCUCUCUCGGGGGCGGCCGCUGCGGUUUACCGGGCCAGCAUCGGUUUGGAGCGGCAGGAUAAUGGCGGAGGAAUGUGGCACGGCUUCUGCUGUGUGUUAUAGCCUCUGACGAUACUGCCAGCCUAGACCGAGGACUGCGGUUUUUAACCUAGGAUGUUGGCAUAAUGAUCUUAAGUCGCCCGUCUUGA